rnacentral:ncRNA from 2 species
GGUCAUGAGUAUCAGCGUCAAGCCCCGGCUCGCUGAUCGGCAACCCUCCAGUGCGGCGGGGUGCUCCGGGUGACGACCGGAUGGCGGUCAUCCGACGCCAUAAGCGCUCAAU